UAUAUCCAGAGUCCAAAAGUUGUUUUCCUCCGAUAUAUAAAUAGAUCCAAACGUUGUCUGAUCUGAUCCUAUAAAACACGGGUACACUCUCUACAGCUACACUCCACUCAGUCCACAACCUUCAUCCCUAAACCCUAACCUUCUUCAUCUCUCUUUGACAAAGCUAAGCUAAGCAGCAAUGUCAGAUAAUGAGAAGAGAUGGGGAUAUUUACCUGAUGAGAUUCUUACCCAUAUUUUCCAUUGCCUACCUAUCAAAUCCAUCAUUGUCUGUACCUCUGUCUCAAAAGCAUGGAAAUCCCUAAUCAAAAACCCAACUUUCAUUUCAACCCAUCUCCGCCAAUCCCACAAAAACCUCCUCCUCUUCAGGCAUCCCACAAAACCAUUUGAAAUGUUUGGUACCAUACCCACAGGUGACAGAAAGUGUAUACAUUGCUUCAUGAUGAUGAUGAUGAUGAUGAUUUCACUGAACAACAACAACACACAAGGUUAGAUUUCCCUUUCCACGGUCCAGACCUUGAGUCCCAUUGCCCAGUAUUCCGUGUGGUCGGUACUUGUGACGGUUUGCUCUGCCUUUCUGAUGAUUUAUUCACAUACACUGACAUAUUUUAUCUGUGGAACCCUUGUGUUAGAAAGAUUCUCCGACUUCCUUAUCCUAAUGUCACAUUUUCCACACAUGGUGGGUUCGACGCUUCUCUUGGUUUUGGAUUUGAUCCCAAAACUAAUGACUAUAAAGUGGUCAGGGUUGUCACCUUAGUGGAUACACUUGACCUUCGAAAGGAUCGACCCAAGGUUGAGGUUUAUUCACUCUCCACUGAUAAAUGGAGAAUGGUUAAGGCUAGUCUGGUUCCCAGAUGUGUUCUUGAUGGUCGUGCACCACAGGCAUUUGUCAAUGGGGCUGUGCAUUGGCGUGUUUUCACAGGGGCUGAUGAUGGCUCAUUUCAUCAUUUUGUUUUGGUGUUUGAUUUGGGGGAUGAGGUCUUCCGCAAAAUGCUGCUGCCAGAACUUCCAGCUUAUACCCGUGAAAGAAUGCGGCUUUACUUUCCUAUUUCCACAUAUAGGAACUCCAUUGCCUUCUUUCACCAGGACUAUAAUAGUCACUGUCUCGAUAUAUGGGUGAUGAAACAGUAUGGUGUUGUUUCCUCGUGGACCAAAGCUUUAAGUUUAACUAUGACUAGUCAAGGUGGCUUCCUUUCAAGAGACUAUAUACGGAGGGCAGUAGGUUUCACAAGGAGUGGCAAGAUUGUGUUGGAAAUGGUGGAGGGCACCUUGUGUCGCAGGAUCUUGAGACCAAAGUGACUAAGGAUCUUGGGAUUAUUGGAUAUAAGUAUAAUUUUGUUGAUGCUUACGUUGAGAGUCUCAUUUUGCUCGACAAAGCUGCCAAUGGUGUGGUUACAUACUAACAAAAAUAGGCAGCGAUAGGCAGCGCAGCAAGCAUUUUUGCCUCAAUUUUGAAAGGGAAAAUUAUUGGAGUUAAUAGGUAUUAAGCAUCUUUUUAGCCUUUUGUUUUUCUGUAAUUGAAAUUUGAAAAUAUGCUGACAAACAAAGCAAUCUUAGGUUCAAUAUUCUUUUUGUAGCAAUGAUAUCUGUGAUAUCUUAUUAUUAUGUAAUUGUUGGCGUGGUUAUAUGCUUAGUUCAUUUACCCUGGUCCCCAUCCUUGGUGCACAUCUUCAUGUGGUAAUGGCUUGGAAUACUUCUUAAUAUGUACAUUCCGGAAAACCAUAAAUAGUAGUGUAGGUUGGUUUAGGUUUUUUCUGUAUGUUACCUCACUAAUUGGUGUUAAUUUAUCUACUUCUAGUGUUAAAUCACAAACAAGAAUGCACUUUCGUGUCUUAAUUUCUUGCAGGACCUUAUGCAAUCAUGGUUGGUGAUGAGCUGCAGUAACAGACUUUAACUUAGAAAAAGAAAAGAUUGAACAAAGCUUUUUGAUGGUGUUUUGUUUCUUAGUAUGGAAUUAGUUUACUAUGCAAAUGAAUCAUAGUUGUUUAUGUUAAGACUCAUUCUGUGGCCACACCAUUUUUAUAUUAGUAACUAUGGAUGAUUUGCAGUUGGUUUUAUUGUGUUUGCAGAAAUGAUUAAACACUUUGUUUUGACUGUCAUUCUUGCAUUGUGAUGAAGAAGCUCACCAACAUAGUGGGUGUGUUUGUGUUUUGGGAACAUGGAUGCGCUGCCCAAUUGUGUUAAGCUUCUCCUUGCCUAGUUGUAGUUGUUUAUGUUAAACUCCUUUUGUGGCUACAUCAUUAUUAUGUUAGUAUUUUUUUUUUUUUUUGAGAAACGUUACAUUAGUAUUUCUAGAUGAUAUGCAAUUUGGUU